rnacentral:rRNA from 1 species
AUGAACGCUGGCGGCGUGCUUAACACAUGCAAGUCGAACGGAAAGGCUCCUGCUUGCAGGGGUACUCGAGUGGCGAACGGGUGAGUAACACGUGGGUGAUCUGCCCUGCACUUCGGGAUAAGCCUGGGAAACUGGGUCUAAUACCGGAUAGGACGAUGGUUUGGAUGCCAUUGUGGAAAGUUUUUCGGUGUGGGAUGAGAUCGCGGCCUAUCAGCUUGUUGGUGGGGGAAUGGCCUACCAAGGCGUCGACGGGUAGCCGGCCCGAGAGGGUGUACGGCCACAUUGGGACUGAGAUACGGCCCAGACUCCUACGGGAGGCAGCAGUGGGGAAUAUUGCACAAUGGGCGCAAGCCUGAUGCAGCGACGCCGCGUGGGGGAUGACGGCCUUCGGGUUGUAAACUCCUUUCGCUAGGGACGAAGCGUUUUGUGACGGUACCUGGAGAAGAAGCACCGGCUAACUACGUG